UAGGCUAUUUUACAACGUCAUUUAUUGAAAUCUUCAACUUAUUUAACUUCACAGAUUUUAUUGAAAUAAACGAUACAAUGUUGAGAAAUAUAUAUUACACUCCUCUUAUCCCACCAUGAGCCAUGUGAAUAUCAUUCAGAAUAAGGUUUGGUUUCUUCUUUUCAGGCUAUACAACCCUAGCCUGGGUAUCGGUCGGUUUGUGCCAUCAUGCCACUUCCUGACACUCCUGUUCAUGUUUGGCAUUUGACACAGAGUACAAGGAGUGGAAUGUCAGCACAAACAGACUGGUACCCAGGCUAGUACAAUCCUCUAACAGAGACCUAUCUACAACAGACUGGUACCCAGGCUAGUACAAUCCUCUAACAGAGACCCAUCUACAACAGACUGGUACCCAGGCUACAGAGAUCUAUCUAUAGUAAAUCCUAGCUGAAAAUAAGUUGUGUCCAUCAGGGACAGGAGGAGGAUGAAGAGGAGGAGGAUGAAGAGGAAGAGGAGGGUGGUUUAGGAGGAUGAGGAUGAUGAGGAGGAGGAUGAAGAGGAGGAGGGUAGUUUAGGAAGAGGAUGAGGAUGGUGGUUUAGGAAGAGGAUGAAGAGGAGGAGGGUGGUUUAGGAGGAUGAAGAGGAGGAGGGUGGUUUAGCAGGAGAAUGAAGAUGAGGAGGGUGGUUUAGGAAGAGGAUGAAGAUGAGGGGGGUGGUUUAGGAGGAUGAAGAUGAGGAGGGUGGUAUAGGAGGAGGAUGAAGAUGAGGAGGGUGGUAUAGGAGGAGGAUGAAGAUGAGGAGGGUGGUUUAGGAGGAUGAAGACGAGGAGGGUGGUUUAGGAGGAUGAAGAUGAGGAGGGUGGUUUAGGAAGAGGAUGAAGAGGAGGAGGGGGAUGAAGAGGAGGAGGGUGGUAUAGGAGGAGGAUGAAGAUGAGGGGGGUGGUUUAGCAGGAGGAUGAAGAGGCGGGUGGUUUCGGUAUGAAUGCUGUUACGAUGUGGGCAUCAUCCCUCCCACCACUCCAGUCAUGGACAGCAUGAACACCACUCAAUGUGUGCGUGUGUGUCCCCAUCGGCACCCUAUUCCCUUUGUAGUGCACUCCUUUUGACCAGAGCCCUGGGGGGGCCGGGACCACGGUAGUGCACCACGUAAGGAAUAGAGUUCCAUUUGGGAUGCAACUAAUAAUACAUCAACACAAGACAUGACGAUAGGAGCAUGAUGUCUCCUUUAGCUGGGUCAAAACAGCCAGGCGCCCUUCAGGGCCUCUGUGUAUUACAGCAGCAGCAGCAGUAGCAGUGUG
rnacentral:lncRNA from 1 species